UACGUAGGUGGCAAGCGUUGUCCGGAUUUACUGGGCGUAAAGGGCGUGCAGGCGGUUUGUCUAGUCUGGGGUGAAAGCUCCCGGCUUAACUGGGAGAGGUCCUUGGAUACUGGCAAACUUGAGGGAGGCAGAGGAAAGUGGAAUUCCCGGUGUAGUGGUGAUAUGCGUAGAUAUCGGGAGGAACACCAGUGGCGAAGGCGGCAUCCUGGACCGGCAUUGACGCUGAGGCGCGAAAGCCAGGGGAGCAAACGGG
rnacentral:rRNA from 1 species